rnacentral:tRNA from 1 species
GCGCCAGUAGCUCAGUUGGAUAGAGCAAUGGUCUUCUAAACCAUCGGUCGCGAGUUCGAACCUCGCCUGGCGCA